CAAUAGCGUAUAUUAAAGUUGUUGCAGUUAAAAAGCUCGUAGUUGGACCUUGGACCUGGACAGGCGGUCCGCCUCACGGCGUGUACUGUCUUGCUGGGUCUUUCCUCUUGGUGAUCUGUUGUUUCGGCAGCAGGGAACCAGGACUUUUACUUUGAAAAAAUUAGAGUGUUCGAAGCAGGCUCGACGCCGGAAUAUAUUAGCAUGGAAUAAUAAAAUAGGACGUGCGGUUCUAUUUUGUUGGUUUUUGGAAUCGCCGUAAUGAUUAAUAGGGACAGUCGGGGGCAUUAGUACUCACAUGCUAGAGGUGAAAUUCUUGGAUUUUGUGAAGACUAACUUCUGCGAAAGCAUUUGCCAAGGAUGUUUUCAUUAA
rnacentral:rRNA from 1 species